rfam:Negativicoccus succinicivorans DORA_17_25 Q612_NSC00329, whole genome shotgun sequence.
UACUCAUCCAGAGUGGUGGAGGGACUCGGCCCGCAGAAGCCACAGCAACCGGUUCAAUUCGGUGCUACAUCCGACAGGCAACUGGAAGAUGAGGG